AACGCGAAGAACCUUACCUGGGCUCGAAAUGUAAAGGACGAUACAAGAGAUUGUAUUUCCCGAAAGGGUCUUUAUAUAGGUGCUGCAUGGCUGUCGUCAGCUCGUGCCGUGAGGUGUUUGGUUAAGUCCAGCAACGAGCGCAACCCUUAUCGUUAGUUGCCAGCGCGUAAAGGCGGGAACUCUAACGAGACUGCCUAGGUUAACUAGGAGGAAGGUGAGGAUGACGUCAAGUCCGCAUGGCCUUUAUGUCCAGGGCUACACACGUGCUACAAUGGUCGGUACAAAAGGCAGCGAAGCCGCGAGGUGAAGCAAAUCCUAUAAAACCGAUCUCAGUUCGGAUUGCAGUCUGCAACUCGGCUGCAUGAAGUUGGAAUUGCUAGUAAUGGCGAGUCAGCAAUAUCGCCGUGAAUACGUUCCCGGGCCUUGUACACACCGCUGUA
rnacentral:rRNA from 1 species